UUGGCAUGUCCGGGCACGUUGCAUCCCUGCUCGGGCAGCGACGACGUGCCUUGCAAGCCUCUUCAGCUGGUCGCCCAAGCGCGUGCUCGCCUUGGUCGUUGUUGGUUUCCUGUGUUGCGUACCUAUCGCGAGGGCAUUUUAUCGGUUUCAAACGUCCCAUUUUCCGCCUUGUGCUGCGCCUCUCGGGGUUGCGGUGCGGGGUGGACCACAAAGCAUCUGCCGUGUUCCACAUCUCGUACGUGCCAACGCGUGCUCGAGUUGCUGGCCCAUGGUAGCAUGCUCGAUCUCUCGGAUGCGGAAAAUUGAGCGGCACGAGGCCUUCGGCCCCUAUUUGCCCCGAAACAAAGCGUUCUACGCUUCGUGCGGACGACGACCGAUGCCGUUCUGACYGAGUCCUCGCGGCUUGGUUCAUGCGGCGCCGGCGUCGAAGAGGAAUGCUACCUGGUUGAUCA
rnacentral:misc_RNA from 1 species